AACGAACGCUGGCGGCAUGCCUAACACAUGCAAGUCGAACGAGACCUUCGGGUCUAGUGGCGCACGGGUGCGUAACGCGUGGGAACCUGCCCUUAGGUUCGGAAUAACUCCCCGAAAGGGGUGCUAAUACCGGAUAAUGUCUUCGGACCAAAGAUUUAUCGCCUUUGGAUGGGCCCGCGUUGGAUUAGCUAGUUGGUAGGGUAAAAGCCUACCAAGGCGACGAUCCAUAGCUGGUCUGAGAGGAUGCUCAGCCACACUGGGACUGAGACACGGCCCAGACUCCUACGGGAGGCAGCAGUGGGGAAUAUUGGACAAUGGGCGAAAGCCUGAUCCAGCAAUGCCGCGUGAGUGAUGAAGGCCUUAGGGUUGUAAAGCUCUUUUAACCGGGAUGAUAAUGACAGUACCGGGAGAAUAAGCUCCGGCUAACUCCGUG
rnacentral:rRNA from 1 species